AAGGAAAUGCCUUAGCUGUAGACAUCAUUUAUGGAACCGUAUAAAUAGAGCUCACAUUCAAAGAUUUUCAGCUUGUGCUCCUGUCUCUAUGCUACCUGCCAGAGGACACUGGGAAAAGGGUCAGCAACUGGGAGAAGGACAGAUGAAAACACUGCCUAUGCAGAGGUGCAGAUGAUAAAUCACAUGCCAGGCUCACCCCUGGACUGCCUCAGCAAGGGAAGCGAGAAGACAUGUAACAGUGAAUGAAGAAAAGGAACUCUGGAUGAGAUAGGAGGCUUGGCAUAUCGCUCAGUGGUAGACCACAUCUACCACACAUGAAGUCGUGGGUUCAAUCCCUAGAACCGAAAGAAACAAUAAACGCAGAAGCCAAAAAAGACAGGGGACUGGAGUGACACUUUUGGAUUUUUGGUUUCAUUACAGAACACAGAAAUAGUAUGAGAUUGUGCUUUCAUUUUAACCCCUGGUGUGGGGUGUGGGGCUGCUUCAGAUUGUCCACAGCAGCUGACUGUGAUUUGUUUUGGGCUCUCUCAGGAGCAUGAUUUUGCCAGCGGCACAUAGUUUCUGCAAUUGUGUGAUGUUUGGAAUUCUGGGGACCUUCCAGAGGUUAUAUACAUGCCAGGGCUCUGAGAGGCUGCAUGAGUUGUUGGUUAGUUGUUGUUGGUCCAGUUUGUAAAGUAGCCACACACGAAGAAGAAAUGACAAGAAAUUAGAUAUUCUGGUGGGGAAGACCAAACUUGGCCCGAGGAACUCAAUGCACCUAAUCAGUAGGAAGUAGUCUAACGUUGCCCCUUUCCAACCCCUGACAGUAUUCAGGGAUAUUGUUCCUUUUCUCUCUAUCCCCAUUUUUUUUUUUCUGUCUUAUUUAGUGUUAGGGCAUUGAAAGGGUGGAAGAAGAUGGGCAGGAGAAGCAAAAAAGAACCCAUAAAGUAUCAAAAGAAAAGACAGCUACAAGGGACUAAUGCUGUGGUUUAUCUUUCAGUCGCUGUCAGAUCAUCUGACUUUAGCUUCCUGCUCAACUUAUUCUUUGAUAAGGCAGGUUCUCCAUGUAAUAUUACCCACACAAUUAGCUCCUGCAAGUGCCUUGCUAUGUGUACUUCCAAUUGCUGUCAGCACUUUGGCUAUAUUCAUCACCAGCAAAAAAAAAAAAAAUUCCUAAUUUCAAUCAACUAAUCAUAAAUCAAUGCAUUCAUUCACAGAUUUGUUCAAGAACUUACCAAAUGAUGAAUGCAUCAUUCCUUUAUUCCUUUAAAGGGAAGCCCAGAGGUCUUUAACAUGAAAGUAAACUGAAAUACUUCCUUGUUCCUCUUGGAUUUUUUCACUUCUUUCAUGAGGUAGCAUGACAUUCCUUUCCUCUGCCUCUCUCUUGCUCAUUCUUUAGAAAUAACUUAGAAGUAUUUUUUUUGAAUCCUUGCUCACCUUGAAAAGGUUAUUUGCUUCAUGCUUCCAAAUAAGAAAUGCUGUGCUUCUUUUAGAUCUCACAUUUGCACUUUGUGUGGUUGGUUUUUAUCUUGAUUUAUUUUUAAAAAAAGCAUUUUCAGCAAUUAAAUUAUGCUUUUUGUGGCAUGCUUGGAAAAGGCAGAUAAGUUGAAUAAAAGAAAAGGUUAGCCAUAGUUUCACUUCUCAAAUAUAGCUGUCAUUACUAUCUUGAUGUUUUCUUCCAUGUACUUUUCUUUUAAAUGCAGGCAUUUAUAAUUUAUACUGUAACAACAACAUCAAACAACAACAACAAUAACAACAAAAUCAUACUGUAUAGAUGUCCUAGCCUGGUUUCUAACACUGUGAUAAAGACCAUGACCAAAGUAAUAUGGGGAGGAAAUAGUUCACUUGGCUUACAAGUUACAGGUCAUUACCAAGGGAAAUCAGGCAGGACCUCAAGGCAGGAACUGAAGCAGCAGUCAUUGGGGGACGCUGCUCACUAACUUGCUCUUCAUUCUUUAUCAACCUGAUUUUUUAUGCAACCUAGGACGCCUGCCCAGAGUUGUACCAUUCACAAUGGGCUGGGACCUCCCAUAUCAAUUGGUCAUAUUGUCCAGUGAAGUUUUCUCUUCCCAGAAGAGGGAAACAAAAACUGAUCAGCACACUAGAUUGGUUAAAUUUUUACAGGUUUUUGUUUAAAUUUUAUAUCUUCUUUUGUGUCAGCCAAGCUUUGUUAAGAACUCAGUUUUAUUUUGUGUCUAAAUUGAUCAUACCCUCUAAAGAACCAAAUAACAGCACUUAACAUAAUAAUAUUUCUUAUUUGUACUUUCUUUAAGUGGUUUUAUUUGGAUCCUUACAUAACCCAAUGGGUCAGAUAAGUUUCACAUCAAUUUUAUACAUAAGGAACCCGCAUCUCUGUCGCAUAAUGUCAUUCUUCAGCAUCUAAAUGGAUUGUAGUGAUGCAACGGCUUGAUACUGCGCUAAUAUCUGAAUUUACUGUCUAUCUACAUAUUAACAGCAGCUGUAUUUGUAUGGCAAAAAUAUGGAUGACUUUUUAAAAACUCACCAUUGGCAUUUGUCAAAAAAUGUUACAAGAUACAUAUCUUAGAUUUGUGAUCAUAGUGUUUUGUGAAGCUUAAAUACAGGAUCAAUUUUCUUUCCUUGUUUCUUUUAAAAGCUAUAGAUUUGAUUCUUGUCUGAUUAUUUCUAAUGUUAGAAAUAAAUUAUUAAUUUUUU
ensembl:lincRNA 3110099E03Rik RIKEN cDNA 3110099E03 gene